rnacentral:lncRNA from 1 species
UAGAAAACCAGUCGGGCAGCCACCUUCCAAGCGACCCCAACGCCACCUCACGCCACCCCGACCCUCCGGACCGGACCCAGCAGCACCGGCCAGCUCCCGCCAUCAACCCCAGCCCGUCCGCCGCCCCUGCUGCUGUCUGGAGCCGCCGGAAACUGCUGGAAAACGCAGCAGUUUUGGCAGAUUUUCCAACCUCAGUUUCUCCCUCAUCCGGCCACCAAAUCAGUCGUGUGAGGUAUCGAUUUCUAGCUAUUUUUCGUGUUCUAACUGCUGGUUGGCUGGGUUUUGAUCAAUUUUUGCUGUAGAUCACUCGAUUUUCAAAUUGAAAUUCGGCCGACUUUCGGCCAUUUCCGGCCACUUUUUGGGGUAGGUCCAAACAAAAGUGACGCCAAAUGGGGUGUUUUACCUAGGAUAGGAGUUUGGAGUCUUGGUUCCGAGAUUUUUCGGCCACUCGGUAUCGCUUUAGACACCCGAAUCUGCCCGCGCGUGCUGGGGCGCGUGGGUGAGGGUGGUGGAGUAACUCUGGGCAGUUUUGAGAUCCUCGUGUCAUCACGAGCGCGUAGGAUUUCGCGGAUCUCGAUUCGGAGUCCGUUUGAGCCUUGAACGGAUUUUCCAUAUUGUGCGAUUACCGGGUUCAAUGCUGUUGAGCCGUUGGAUCGUAAUCAAUUUUAGAUAUGUUACUCUAGAUAAUUUUAGAAACGUGUAGGAUUCGACGGAUUGUGAAUCGAAGACCCGGAUACUCUGAAAACGCGAACCCUAGGGCUAGGGUUUAGAAAUUACAGGAUUGUGAUCAAUCCGACCGUCCGAUUGACACCAAUACCCUCGGGACAUGUGUCCUAAAUAUAUUGGACCUUCUAGCGGCAUCCGGAUCAUAUUAUACCCGUGGGGUUCCGGAUUGACUUUUUGAACUUUAGCGCUUUUUGAGUCCCCAGAUACCACUAAACGAUCCCACGUGGAAGAAAAGCUGUUAUGGGCAUAGGGAUCACUUUAAAUUGACGCACGUACUUUUAGGAGUCGGGGGUAGGGUUUUUAAUUUAAUACUAUAUUGUAUUAAUAGAAUAUUAUGGUCAUUGAAUCAGGCACCCGGGCACCAGUUGACCCGCAGAGGGACCUUCAAGAGGUCCAGCGAGCUCAGACUAUCAGUGAGUGGACUCUUUGUUUUUAUAAAUGAAUUUAAUCAGUUCAGUUUCAGUUAAGCAGUUCAGUUUCAGUUAUAAGCUGUUUUAUGCUGUUAAAUAUUUUAUAUUACAUGCUGCCGAGUGAAGUUUCCUUUUAAGAAUAUAGGAAAAGAUAUUCUCGUUAAUUAUCAGAUAAAUGGCAGCAGAAAUUUAAAGGUUACAGAAAGUUAAUUAUUCAACAAAUUUUCUUCAGAAACUUUAUAUUUUCUUAAAUCACCUUGUACCCAGUUAUUAAAUGUUGCCUUCGGUUUAUAUCUGUUACCUUCGGUUUAGUCAGCAUGCUUGACAGUUGCCCCACGAGUUCCUUGGUACUCGAACUCGUGUGGAGCGAGUAAUGCGGAUAAAGGCGGACUACGGUUCCCUGAAUCCUGCGAGUUGCGGCUCAGACUGACCUCGUGUCACUGAGACCUGCGAGUAUGUGUCACCCAUGGUGAUGCAAGGAAUUGACGGAUAUAAGGAUUUGACAGAAAUAAGGGUACACCUAGGUGAUAGUUUUCAACUGUUUUCAAAUGUAUAGUUAUAUACAUUCAUUGAUUUCAGAAAUAAAGAAAAUAAGCUAGUUUGUAUAACUGUUUUUACCGUGGGGUUAGUAUGUUCAUAUAGUAUUUUCUAAACUUUGUUUUUGGGUCCACUCACCCUUCUUGUUGUUUUGUGCCCCCAGGAAGUAGACGUGCACAGGAAUCCACCACCGGGCCACUUCCCAUCUUCCGCGCCUUUCUU